GGUGGCUCAGCGGUAGAGCGCUCGCCUUGCAUGCCUGAGGCCCUGGGUUCGAGUCCCCAGCACCA
rnacentral:tRNA from 1 species